rnacentral:tRNA from 1 species
GCCCCGGUAGCCCAGCGGUAGAGGCAAUGGAUUCAAAACCCAUAUAGCGUCGGUUCGAAUCCGACUCGGGGUA